rnacentral:rRNA from 1 species
GCCAGAGGGUGCAAACGUUGUUCGGAAUUACUGGGCGUAAAGCGUGUGUAGGCGGCCAUGCAAGUCGGAUGUGAAAGCCCCGGGCUCAACCCGGGAAGUGCACUCGAUACUGCGUGGCUAGAGUAUCGGAGAGGUUGGUGGAAUUCUCGGUGUAGAGGUGAAAUUCAUAGAUAUCGAGAGGAACACCGGUGGCGAAGGCGGCCAACUGGACGAAUACUGACGCUGAGACACGAAAGCGUGGGGAGCAAACAGG